ACACAAACACAAGGUGUUCAUUAUCAGCUCCCUCCUCUCCUCUGCUUCUUUCUGUUUAUUGUUUGAAGUUUUGAUCUGCUUCUUCAUGGGGCCUGGAGGACCACCAGGUCCUGGCCCAGGGUGGGCCCCUCUUCCUGGAGGUCCAGGAUGGGGGGGACCUGGUUUUGGUGGCUUCAUACCUUCAUGUUUUUACUUCUUGUGCUGCUGCUGCUUGCUUCAGGAAUGCUGUGGCCCCUUUUUUGGAGGACCUCCAGGGCCUCAUGGUCCUCCUCCCUUUUGAAGCAAACAAGGUUGAGUCAUGAAAUAUCAAGACUCAAAACUAUUCAGCAAGUUACUUUUCCAAUAAAAAGGGGCUCUUGUCUACCUUAACCUCUGUAUUGAGCUGUUUGUUCUAAGAAGUGUGUGCAUAGUAUGUUGAACUUUUGAUCAAAAUCGCAAUAAUAAACAAACUCUAAGAAAGUCACAAAGGUUGUUUCAAA